rnacentral:rRNA from 1 species
UACAGAGGAUGCAAGCGUUAUCCGGAAUGAUUGGGCGUAAAGCGUCUGUAGGUGGCUUUUUAAGUCCGCCGUCAAAUCCCAGGGCUCAACUCUGGACAGGCGGUGGAAACUACCAAGCUGGAGUACGGUAGGGGCAGAGGGAAUUUCCGGUGGAGCGGUGAAAUGCGUAGAGAUCGGAAAGGAACACCAACGGCGAAAGGCGACUCUCGUGCCUAGGCCGACACUGAGCA